rnacentral:rRNA from 1 species
UACGGAGGGUGCAAGCGUUAUCCGGAUUCACUGGGUUUAAAGGGUGCGUAGGUGGGCUAGUAAGUCCGUGGUGAAAUCUCUGAGCUUAACUCGGAAACUGCCGUGGAUACUAUUAGUCUUGAAUCUCGUGGAGGUAAGCGGAAUAUGUCAUGUAGCGGUGAAAAUGCUUAGAUAUGACAUAGAACACCGAUAGCGAAGGCAGCUUGCUACACGAGUAUUGACACUUGAGGCACGAAAGCGUGGGGAUC